AGCGAACGCUGGCGGCAGGCCUAACACAUGCAAGUCGAACGAACCUUUCGGGGUUAGUGGCGGACGGGUGAGUAACACGUGGGAACGUGCCUUUGAGUUCGGAAUAACUCAGGGAAACUUGUGCUAAUACCGAAUGUGCCCUUCCGGGGAAAGAUUUAUCGCCAUUAGAGCGGCCCGCGUCUGAUUAGCUAGUUGGUUGAGGUAAUGGCACACCAAGGCGACGAUCAGUAACUGGUAUGAGAGGAUGGUCAGGCACAUCGGGACUGAGACGCGGCCCAAACUCCUGCGGGAUGGGGCAGUGGCGAAUCUUGCGCAAUCGGGGAAAGCCUGAAGCAGCCAUGCCGCGUGAAUGAUGAAGGUCUUAGGAUUGUAAAAUUCUUUCACCGGGGACGAUAAUGACGGUACCCGGAGAAUAAGCCCCGGCUAACUUCGUG
rnacentral:rRNA from 1 species